GUGGAUACGGUGGCACGCAUCCUAUAGUCCCAACUACAUGGGAGGCUGAGGUGGGAGGAUAGCUUGAGCCCAGGAGUUCUGAGCUAUAGUGCGCUAUGACGAUUCUGCGUCUGUACUAAAUUCAGCAUCAAUAUAGUGACCUCCAGGGAGCCGGGGACCAACAGGUUGCCUAAGGAGGGGUGAACUGACCCAGGUCGGAAACAGCAGAUCAAAACUCCCGUGCUGAUCAGUAGUGGGAUCAUGCCUGUGAAUAGCCACUGCACUCCAACCUGGGCAACAUAGUAAGACUCCAUCUCC
rnacentral:SRP_RNA from 1 species